GGAAGAGCACAGUAAUCUUGUAUCUGUAAUGCAAGAGAAGAGAUGUGAAGGUCAUCCCAAGUCUUCCUACAACCCUAAAGUGAAGCCUGAAGAAUGCUACAGUGGCCGCCAAGUCUCACAAUUCCCAUGAGAUUUUUAGCUAUAAUUUUAAAACCUGUUGUUAUGGAGAAAGCCUUGAAAAUUAGAAGAAGGAUGUCUCAAAGAAAUAGAAGGAGAUGACAGUUUGUGGUUUUGGAAUUGCUCAAGAAAAUAUUUCAAGUCUCCAUCACUAUGACUCUGAGUUUGGAGCUAGUUCAUGCUGUACACUGAAUGCUACAUGAGAUAGGCUGAAUACAAGAAGUCAGUGAAAUAAAUCUAUAUUAACAGCAUCUCUAUCUUGCAGAAUGGAAACAAGCACAAAGAAUCUGAUCUUCUCAGGGCUGCUUAUAGAACUUCUGGCUCCACGUACCUUGAAGGAGGCUCAGCUGCUCUGUAAAUAGACACAUCUGGUCCCGUUCCAGACUUGGGAUGCUGUGUUUUAAUCUAUCUUCACAUAGAAGCCAGCAUGGCAAGUGGCAGCCACUCUGUAACCAUAAGUUCUUGUACCUGUGUUUCUUCUUCUCCUGCAUGGCAAGAACAGUGAUGUGCCCAGGGAAGUACUAGCUAACUUAGGAAUGUUUGUAACCUUUUCUGAGGGUUUCUUCCUCUCAAAGCUCAAGGGACUGAGACACCUCAGAAUUAAGAUCAUUCUAGUGAAGGACAACCUAAAUGUGUAGGAAAUCAGUUUUCAGAUGUUCUCAUCUACUUUGUUUCAAAACCAUUUAUCAAACACUUUGCUUUAAAUGUGAUCCAAGAGCACUCAGGCAGUGGUCCCAGAAUACUCCCGAGCAGCCAGGCCAUCUGGCUGGAGCAGUGUGUGCAAGGCCUGGACAUGUUGUAUGUAAUAUGAGGUUUACCUCACAUAAUGAUUCUUCAGGAGCUGAGCGGGCUCCUGGUCAUCAAAAAUACAUAGUGAGAGAGAUAGUCACAGACACUGACCUAGUGUAGGAGAAGGUGGCUGCAAACCCAACAUAAGCUUAAGGUCAGCUCCUGUGCUGGCUCACUGCUUAUGGCAUGAGGCAUCUUCUCUUUCCCGUGAAGCUCCCUGCUGUGGGCAUUGAGCCUUCUCAAGGGGCCCAGCUACAGCACUGGGGACCCUGGACACCUCACAGGCUCCAAGCCCCUCUAGGACAAAGCAGCAUAGACGAUUCUGGUGCUGAAGAAAGGUUAAGGCUGGGGCUGCACCCUCAAGGCAGCCUCAACAGCAGAUGAAGUUACUUUCCUUCCUACCAGCACACUCUUCACACACCUUCUGCUGGAUGUUUGUUCCACAUGCAGCAGCUCUUCACCUGCUUCAAACUCAGAGGUCUCCUAAAGGCACGUGCUCCUGCCUCUGGGCCCUCCACCACUUGUAAACUACCUGCAGUUUGUGCUUUCUGUGCAGAAAAGAAAACAACAGUGAGAACUAAUGCACGUGUGUGAGAGGAAUGCAUGUGU
rnacentral:lncRNA from 7 species